GAUGAACGCUGGCGGCGUGCCUAAUACAUGCAAGUCGAGCGAACAGACGAGGAGCUUGCUCCUCUGACGUUAGCGGCGGACGGGUGAGUAACACGUGGAUAACCUACCUAUAAGACUGGGAUAACUUCGGGAAACCGGAGCUAAUACCGGAUAAUAUAUUGAACCGCAUGGUUCAAUAGUGAAAGACGGUUUUGCUGUCACUUAUAGAUGGAUCCGCGCCGCAUUAGCUAGUUGGUAAGGUAACGGCUUACCAAGGCGACGAUGCGUAGCCGACCUGAGAGGGUGAUCGGCCACACUGGAACUGAGACACGGUCCAGACUCCUACGGGAGGCAGCAGUAGGGAAUCUUCCGCAAUGGGCGAAAGCCUGACGGAGCAACGCCGCGUGAGUGAUGAAGGUCUGCGGAUCGUAAAACUCUGUUAUUAGGGAAGAACAAAUGUGUAAGUAACGAUGCACGUCUUGACGGUACCUAAGCAGAAAGCCACGGCUAACUACGU
rnacentral:rRNA from 1 species